GAUUUUAUGACAUGAGAGAAUUUAAUUUCAUUCAUUGUUCGGUUGACCGGAAAACCGCUGCAAAAUGUCUAGGCCUUCUUUUAUUUGACCGCAAAUAACUUGCUCAUAACAAGAGUGGUAGAUGCUUGGGAAUAUAGAUACAUAUGUAAUUAAUCGAGCAGAAACGAUGCGACCACACUCAGAGAAGGUGUAAAGAAUAUCGACAAAAAGCACUUCCAGCACAAAUUUAAGCAAAUAAAGGCGAAAGGUGGUCAAUAAGCUGUUACAUGGUAGCUGCUGAUAUAUGGGGCCACAAAAUUUAACUCAGUAAGCGUCACUAUGAGCGGUGUUAAUGAAGCAGGGUCUGAGAAGCGAGCGUUUUACCUGCAGUCAGCGAGUUAAAAAUGACUGAGUUAAUGAUUAUAAUAAUAAUGAUGGCUGGUGUGCAGUGAAUCAUUCAAGAAAUAUGUAUACACUUAUGUGUCUGUAUGUAUGCCAAGGGAAAGCAAAGGAAACUAAGAAAGAUGAUACGAAAAAUGAAUGAUUUAAAAAGUACAUAAAAGAAAAAUUUUCUAUGAAGAAAAAUUGAAACUUGUGAGUAAUGUGAGCUGUUAGCGUAGUUAUGCAGUCGCUGAGUACAAAAACAAAAAAAA